AUAUUAUUAAGCGGAGGAAAAGAAACUAACAAGGAUUCCCUGAGUAAUGGCGAUUGAAAAGGGAAAAGCUCAAGAUUGAAUCGGGUGUCCCUCUGCGGGCAUUUCGAGUUGAAAAAGGUGUCAUAGUAGGUGAUAACCCAUCUAUGAACUGGUGUUUGCGUGUAUCCUUCAUGUUGUUCCCGAGUAAGUCCUGCUCGAAGACGGGUGGUAAUCAUCAUCCAAAGCUAAAUACAAGCCAGAGACCGAUAGCGCACAAGUA
rnacentral:rRNA from 1 species